rnacentral:rRNA from 1 species
AUUGAACGCUGGCGGCAUGCCUUACACAUGCGAGUCGAACGGCAGCACGGGUGCAUGCACCUGGUGGCGAGUGGCGAACGGGUGUGUAAUACAUCGGAACGUACCUUAUCGUGGGGGAUAACGCAGCGAAAGUUGCGAUAAUACCGCAUACGCCCUGAGGGGGAAAGCGGGGGACCGUAAGGCCUCGCGCGAUUAGAGCGGCCGAUGUCUGAUUAGCUUGUUGGUGAGGUAAAAGCUAACCAAGGCGAUGAUCAGUAGCUGGUCUGAGAGGACGAUCAGCCACACUGGGACUGAGACACGGCCCAGACUCCUACGGGAGGCAGCAGUGGGGAAUUUUGGACAAUGGGGGCAACCCUGAUCCAGCAAUGCCGCGUGAGUGAAGAAGGCCUUCGGGUUGUAAAGCUCUUUUGUCAGGGAAGAAACAGCAGCUCUAACACAGUCUGCGAAUGACGGUACCUGAAGAAUAAGCACCGGCUAACUACGUGCCAGCAGCCGCCGUAA